UACGUAGGGUGCGAGCGUUGUCCGGAUUUAUUGGGCGUAAAGAGCUCGUAGGCGGUUUGUCGCGUCGGCCGUGAAAUCUCCACGCUUAACGUGGAGCGUGCGGUCGAUACGGGCAGACUUGAGUUCGGUAGGGGAGACUGGAAUUCCUGGUGUAGCGGUGAAAUGCGCAGAUAUCAGGAGGAACACCGGUGGCGAAGGCGGCGACCUGGUCCUUGACUG
rnacentral:rRNA from 1 species